rnacentral:rRNA from 1 species
UACAGAGGGUGCGAGCGUUAAUCGGAAUUACUGGGCGUAAAGCGUGCGUAGACGGCUAUCUAAGUCGGGUGUGAAAGCCCCGGGCUCAACCUGGGAAUUGCAUUCGAGACUGAAUAGCUAGGGUGCGGUAGAGGGAAGCGGAAUUUCCGGUGUAGCGGUGAAAUGCGUAGAUAUCGGAAGGAACAUCAGUGGCGAAAGCGGCUUCCUGGACCAGCACCGACGUUCAGGCAUGAAAGCGUGGGGAGCAAACAGG